UACAUCUUCAACUGAUUUAAAUAAAAGAUUAUUCAAUAUGCAAAUAAAGGUUAUUUAUAAGGAAGUGAAGUGUGUGUGUGUCAGUGAGAGGACAGAAGAGCUCACAUCAGUUCAGCUUCAACAUCAACAUGUUCUCUGUAGCUCUGAUACUGCUGCUGGCAGCUGGAUCCUGUGUAAAGUGUGAACAGUUGACACAGCCAGCCUCUGUGACUGUGCAGCCAGGUCAACGUCUGACCAUCACCUGUCAGGUCUCUUAUUCUGUUAGCAGCUACUACACAGCUUGGAUCAGACAGCCUGCAGGGAAAGGACUGGAGUGGAUUGGAAGGGCAGGUGUUGGUUACACAACACAUUACAAAGAUUCACUGAAGAACAAGUUCAGUAUCGACUUAGACUCUUCCAGUAAAACAGUGACUCUAAACGGACAGAAUGUGCAGCCUGAAGACUCUGCUGUGUAUUACUGUGCCAGAGAGAGACACAACAACACAAACCAUCAGCAGACCUGAACAAAAACCCCUCAG